GAAUAUGCGUAGAUCAUCCACCAUUUUGUGAACGCUGUGAAAUGGACUUUCAUACAGGCUCAGUUACCAGGGACUUUCUAAUCUGCCAACACGGCCUUCUGCACAGGGCCUGUAACAUUUGCUCUGGGGAUCACCCGAACCAGCUUUCAUGUGGACAAAGCAGCGUCCAGCCCGGGGUCGUCACAUGUGGUUGCUGUAAGCACAAGACGCGAACGCAACCAAGCAAGCUCGUUGGGAAACACUGGAAGUUCAGAUGAGCACUGGAUCACAGGUAACAGGGUUAAGCAGGAUUCCUGGAAGCAGUAGGACGACAACAACACAGACGUUAGUGUUUCAAAGGUGAGUAUACGUUACGUCUCAAAUCCUUGGUUUCUCAGCAGGUCAGGAGACAACAGCAUUAGGUCUGUUCCUGUUGGAGAUUUGACGCUGAACUGAGGCUGUGAUGAGGUUGCUAAUGGUGAGCAGGUGCAGGUGAUUAGUACUCUGGGGAGAGUGAUCAUUGUGAGAUGGAUGGGACCGGGCUUGACUGGUCCCUGACAAUUUGUAAUGCUGUCCUUUUAAGAUGGAAGGCAUGCAUGAAAUACUGACACACGUUCAAUUUUCACACACCUGUUCUCAUUCACUUAAUCCAUAACCUACUGUAUUUACGUGAGAUUCUCUACACGGUAAAUAUUUGGACUGUUGUGUGUGUAUUUGAAAGCUGAGAACUGAUCAUGCUGUAGGCCUAUAUGAGAACUGAGAGCGAGAGAGAGCACUUCUAUCAGCGUUAUUCCGCCUAUCCCGCCUUCACCAACUUUAAGUUAAUUGACAACGAAUUGUGACUCCCGGGAAAAACGGGACGUGUGGUUACCUUAUCCCAAAACCCUUUGG